AUUCAGUUUAUGAAAAACAGUCGGUACGACCUCUCACGAAAGGCACAACAGUAUCCUCGAGUUCCCUUCGGCCCUCCCUCGCCACCUCUACGAUUUCCCCAUCUGCCUCCAGCACUCCUCCACUCCACUCCACUCCACUCCACUCCACCUAUCUCGAUCAUCUCUACUUACCUCCGUCACUCCCCUACCAAUAUCCGCAAUUUCCCUACCUACCUUUGCUACACUCAAAUCAUUCCUACUCAACCCAACACACUAGUUGACCUAAAACCUAACCACUAGAACUACCCAAAAUUUACAAAGUGCACAAUUUGGAAUGGGUUUUGAUAGAGGACUUCAUCACCAAUUGCCUGAUAUCUCUUCAUCCCUGACUCUAGUGCCUAAAUUCAUGCUUUAUUUCGAUCUCCAUUGAUGAGCUUCUUUGACACUUGCUCAAUUAGGGUACAUUGCUAAAACAUUGUAUGGUGAUGAUGAUGAAGAGGUUACUCCUCAGAAUAGCGGCACAGUGGAGGAGCCAAAAUUUUUAGGCCUUUACCCUGGAUCAAAUGAGAAGAUUCUCUUGAAGAAUGGUCCUUAUGGGUUCUAUGUUCAGCUUGGUAAGGACAGGAAGGGAUACUACUAGCCUAAAAGAGCCUCGGUUUCCCAAAUAAAAAAAUGUAGACUCUAUUACCCUGGAAGAUGCUAUUGAGUUGCUGCGCUAUCCUGCGACAUUGGGAAACCAUCCUGAUGAUGGCCAGCCAGUUGUAUUGAAGCUUGCAAAGUUUCGAUUUUCCAUUAGACAGACGCACAAUCGCGCCUGUACCCAAGAACUUGAAGCCGAAUGAUAUAACCUUUGAGAAAGCAUUAGAGCUUUUGUUGGGUAAAGAUGUAAAACGAUGUGGCUGACCCAAGAGCAAACCAAAGCUUGAAGGGGCCGUUGAGGCGAUAUAGGCAUGACAUAUUCUAUGGCCGAGGCCGGGUACAAGAAAUUUAAAGUCUGUGCAAUUGGUAUGCAUAUAUGAAGACAUCCCAUUUGCGGCAUCUCCUCCAGUUCUUCCAUUGGUGAGGUUUGAACAGAGCUCAUACAGGUUGUAUCUAUCUCACACAGACAUAUCUGAUGGCAGGAAAUGUAGUGUAAUGGAAGUUAGUAGUAGCCAAUUUUGUUGUAAUUCAUGAAUAGGCUUUUAAGUAAUAUAUAUGUGGCCAAUUUAAAUUUAA